rnacentral:rRNA from 1 species
UACGUAGGGGGCGAGCGUUGUCCGGAUUUAUUGGGCGUAAAAGAGCUCGUAGGCGGUUUGGUAAGUUGGAUGUGAAAUCUCCAGGCUCAACUUGGAGGGGGUCAUUCGAUACUGCCAUGACUAGAGUUCGGUAGGGGGAGUGUGGAAUUCCUGGUGGAGCGGUGAAAUGCGCAGAUAUCAGGAGGAACACCCCUAGCGAAAGGGCGGGCACUCUGGGGGCCCGGGAAACUGACGCUGAGGGAGCGAAAAAGCGUGGGGGGAGCGAAACAGGGAUUUAG